rnacentral:rRNA from 1 species
AGAGUUUGAUCAUGGCUCAGAACGAACGCUGGCGGCAUGCCUAACACAUGCAAGUCGGACGCUUUUGCGACUUCGGUCGCAAGGGAGUGGCGCACGGGUGAGUAGCGCGUGGGAACCUGCCCUGUUGUGGGGGAUAACCGAGGGAAACUUCGGCUAAUACCGCAUAAGCCGGUUGUCUUGAGAGAGAUGGCCGGGAAAGAUUUAUCGCGACAGGAGGGGCCCGCGUCGGAUUAGCUAGUUGGUGGGGUAACGGCCCACCAAGGCUCCGAUCCGUAGCUGGUCUGAGAGGAUGAUCAGCCACACUGGGACUGAGACACGGCCCAGACUCCUACGGGAGGCAGCAGUGGGGAAUAUUGGACAAUGGGCGCAAGCCUGAUCCAGCAAUGCCGCGUGAGUGAUGAAGGCCUUAGGGUUGUAAAGCUCUUUCGCCCGCGACGAUGAUGACGGUAGCGGGAGAAGAAGCCCCGGCUAACUUCGUGCCAGCAGCCGCGGUAAUACGAAGGGGGCGAGCGUUGUUCGGAUUUACUGGGCGUAAAGGGCGCGUAGGCGGCCCUCCUUGUCGCGUGUGAAAGCCCCGGGCUCAACCUGGGAAUUGCGCGCGAAACGGGGGGGCUUGAGUUCGGGAGAGGAGCGUGGAAUUCCCAGUGUAGAGGUGAAAUUCGUAGAUAUUGGGAAGAACACCGGUGGCGAAGGCGGCGCUCUGGACCGAGACUGACGCUGAGGCGCGAAAGCGUGGGGAGCAAACAGGAUUAGAUACCCCCGUAGUCC